GACGGAAGGUGCAAGCGUUGCUCGGAAUCACUGGGCGUAAAGGGUGCGUAGGCGGCCGUGCAAGUCUGGCGUGAAAGCCCCGGGCUCAGCCCGGGAAGUGCGCUCGAAACUGCGCGGCUCGAGUGCCGGAGGGGAGAGUGGAAUUCCUGGUGUAGCGGUGAAAUGCGCAGAUAUCAGGAGGAACACCGAUGGCGAAGGCAGGUCUCUGGGCAUUAACUGACGCUGAGGAGCGAAAGCAUGGGGAGCGAACAGG
rnacentral:rRNA from 1 species